GAUGAAUGUUGGCGGUGUGCCUGAGAUAUGCAAGUCGAACGUCUUUUUCCGCAAGGAAAAAGGUAGUGGCGGACGGCUGAGUAACACAUAGGGACUUACCCUUUUUGAAGGAUAGCCCAUCGAAAGGUGGGAUAAUACUUCAUGGUAUGAAUGUCGUAAGAUAUUCUUUAAAGAGAUUAACUUCUCGAAAAAGGAUGGACCUGUGGCUUAUCAGAUAGUUGGUGGGGUAACGGCCUACCAAGUCUACGACGAGUAGCUGGCCUGAGAAGGUGGUCAGCCAGAGGGGGGACUGAGACACGGCCCCCACUCCUACGGGAGGCAG
rnacentral:rRNA from 1 species